AAGUGUUAAUAAGUAGAACGGCAGGAAGUGUAA
rnacentral:sRNA from 1 species